CUCCGUCGACCGCUCACCGUCCGUGUCGAGCGGUCGCCUCGGUUGGGGUUAGAUUACUGGCAGCUGAUUGGCCGCACGUCCAUUAACCUGCCCUUGACUCUGGGAUAAGCCGGGGAAACCGGGUCUAAUACUGGAUACAACCUUCUGGCGCAUGCCAUGUUGGUGGAAAGCUUUUGUGGUUUUGGAUGGACUCGCGGCCUAUCAGCUUGUUGGUGGGGUAAUGGCCUACCAAGGCGACGACGGGUAGCCGGCCUGAGAGGGUGACCGGCCACACUGGGACUGAGACACGGCCCACACUCCUACGGGAGGCAGCAGUGGGGAAUAUUGCACAAUGGGCGCAAGCCUGAUGCAGCGACGCCGCGUGAGGGAUGAAGGCCUUCGGGUUGUAAACCUCUUUCAGUAGGGAAGAAGUUGGCCUUUCGGGGUUGGUGACGGUACCUGCAGAAGAAGCGCCGGCUAACUACGUGCCAGCAGCCGCGGUAAUACGUAGGGCGCAAGCGUUAUCCGGAAUUAUUGGGCGUAAAGAGCUCGUACGCGGUUUGUCGCGUCUGCCGUGAAAGUCCGGGGCUUAACUCCGGAUCUGCGGUGGGUACGGGCAGACUAGAGUGCAGUAGGGGAGACUGGAAUUCCUGGUGUAGCGGUGAAAUGCGCACAUAUCAUGAGGAACACCAAUGGCGAAGGCAGGUCUCUGGGCUGUAACUGACGCUGAGGAGCGAAAGCAUGGGGAGCGAACAGGAUUAGAUACCCUGGUAGUCCAUGCCGUAAACGUUGGGCACUACGUGUGGGGGACAUUCCACGUUUUCCGCGCCGUAGCUAACGCAUUAAGUGCCCCGCCUGGGGAGUACGGCCGCAAGGCUAAACUCAAAGGAAUUGACGGGGGCCCGCACAGCUGCCGACCUGCGGAUUAUUCCAUGCACGCGCAGACCUUACCAGGCUUGACAUGAACCGAAUGAUGCAGAAUGUGUCAGCACUUGUGACGGUUUACAAGUGCGCAUGGUUGUCGUCAGCUCGCGUCGUGAGAUGUAGGUUAAGUCCGCUACGAGCGCCACCGCUCGUUCAUGUUGCCUCGAGGUUAGGCAGGAACUCAUGCAG
rnacentral:rRNA from 1 species